rnacentral:lncRNA from 1 species
UGUAAACACUCCUCUGUCUUGAAAACUAAAGAAUUAGGUGAUGUAUGCCUUUAUUAUCGGUGAAGGCAAUGGCACCCCACUCCAGUACUCUUGCCUGGAAAAUCCCAUGGACAGAGGAGCUGGUAGGCUGUAGUCCAUGGGGUCGCUAGGAGUCAGACACGACUGAGCGACUUGACUUUCACUUUUCCCUUCCAUGCAUUGGAAAAGGAAAUGGCAACCCACUCCAGUGUUCUUGCCUGGAGAAUCCCAGGGACGGGGGAGCCUGGUGGGCUGCCGCCUCUGGGGUCGCACAGAGUCGGACACGACUGAAGUGACUUAGCAGCAGCAGCAGCAGCGUGCCUUUAUUAUAAACAGAAAUGGAUCUUAUAAACUCUACAAGUUCUAUGGAAAUGGAAAGCCACAUAUCUAAAAUGUGCCUGCUGUUCAUCCUUAAAUUUAUGAAAUCUUCCUCUUCCAAAUUAAAAAUCUACUAAAUCUGAAAAUCUAAAUGGAAAAAAAUCUUUAAGCUAAAAAGUCUACUUAAAAUCAUGAAACAGCCAUAUUGCCCCUACUAAAUUCUGGUGUGUAAAUCUUAUAAUUGCCUUGGUGUGUUACAGAAAAGGCGUUGGCUUUGGUGUCUGGGUCCCAGCCCCAUGUGGUACUUGACUGCUUGGUGCCUCACUCAGAGAGAUUGUAACACCUACGGCACAAGGUGGUUGUGAGGAUUAAACAAGAGAAUGACAAAUAGCAUCUUGCUUGGCAGAGUACCUGCGGCAUAGUGAGUGAAGACGACUUUGACUUUCCCUUCCCGGAUUGGCGUUUGACACAGGCAAGAUCUCUGGGUUGCAGAUCUUACUCCAACCGACCACUAGAUGGCACUAUUUGGAGACGUCUUCAUCCACCACCUAGUCUUACCAUACGUUCUCCCCUCUGCCUUGGAGAUCAGGUUUUCCAAGGUCUCAAGAGCUUGAUGAGCCUCUUUAGAUGGACACUUUCUUUGCAGAUCAUCUCCUGUCCUCGCGCAGAACUACAAGCAGAAAUCCUACAGACAGUUGUGAUAAAGAGAGGCGAUUCUGUCGAAAUGUAGUCCGGCCAGUUGGUGAUUUUGCUCCAGCUGUGAACAGGUUAAAUUAUGCAGCAUAGCACAUUUCAUCCAUCUUUCAUCAGAAAGAACAGACUGGGUGCUCUGAUGCUGUGAUGGAGGCAUAGUGGUUCUGGGGAAGUGGAUCUAUGUACUUGAAAAGUCAAAGGGUUGAGAGGAUAAAGGAACGGUCUUUCUCUUGCUGAAGAGAAGUGAGUUUGGCAUGACUCUUGGACCUCCAGGGGUAUCCCUGCUCCUAGCAAAGGCAGCUUCAGGCUCUGGUAGUCUGCGAACACAAGGAAUUUAGAGGCAGAACCUCAUACUCUGCUGGUGGUUUCUCCUGUCUUCACUCGAGUAGGCAGGUAUGCCGCUCCAGAAACAAAGGGCGUGAUUUGUCGGGUUGGGAGCAUGUUUAACACCUUCGGGUUACUCACAAUGUAAUUAAUUCAUCAAAACAUCUUGAAUGGUUCCUGAAUGAUCCAAUAUUAGUCUCUAAACUGUCAUUGUUGUGUUACACCAUAUUGCAGUAAGAUUAUAAGUAGGUAUAGGUUAAGAUCGUACUUUCUCCUACAUCUGCAGUUCAGUUCAUUGCCUGGUACCUAAUUGGCACACUGAAUAAAUAAAAGAAUGAAUGAACUCA